GAUGUGCCUGACUCUGUGACUUGAGAUCUGAUGUUUUUGACUCACUCUGGUUGCAGGUGAUGCCGGUCCAGCCUGCCGUACACACACAGCCAUCUCUCUCCUCUGCACACACACCACCGUUAGUGCAGUCAUCACAGGGUGUGUGUGUGUCUACAGUGUCAUAAGGUGUGUGUAGAGCGGCGGUGUACUGCAGGAGCUGAGGUGGUCGCCGGAACAGCAAGUCAGGAAGACGGAGCACUUCUAGCUGUUCUUCAUCACCAUCUGAGUCAUCCUCUUCUUCAGCAUUGCUUCCCAUCCACCCCAAGCUCAAAUCCAGGGUUACACACACACCUGAAGGAUCCUGGAGUGUUCACGCAGCCAUGAGCACACCCGGUUCUGCUGGAUACACACUCGUCCACAUCUGAGGAGAGAAAACUAAUUGUAUGUCAGAUAAUCAGACCAUCAGAUAAUCACACCAUCAGAUAAUCAGACCAUCAGAUAAUCAGACCAUCAGAUAAUCAGACCAUCAGAUAAUCACACCAUCAGAUAAUCACACCAUCAGAUAAUCAGACCAUCAGAUAAUCAGACCAUCAGAUAUAUUUCUCAUCCACUGAAAUCAAUGCUAAUCUUUUUCUGUGUAUUUUACCGUCACAU